GCAAGUCGAGGGGCAGCACGGUGUAGCAAUACACGGGUGGCGACCGGCGCACGGGUGAGUAACGCGUAUGCAACCUGCCUACUACAAGGGGAUAACCCGUUGAAAGACGGACUAAUACCCUAUAACACAGGGAAUCCGCAUGGAUAUAUUUGUUAAAGAUUAAUCGGUAGUAGAUGGGCAUGCGUUCCAUUAGCUUGUUGGUGAGGUAACGGCUCACCAAGGCAACGAUGGAUAGGGGAACUGAGAGGUUGAUCCCCCACACUGGAACUGAGACACGGUCCAGACUCCUACGGGAGGCAGCAGUGAGGAAUAUUGGUCAAUGGACGAGAGUCUGAACCAGCCAAGUCGCGUGAAGGAAGACGGCCCUACGGGUUGUAAACUUCUUUUGUAAGGGAAUAAAGAGUCUUACGAGCUAAGACGUUGCAGGUACCUUACGAAUAAGGAUCGGCUAACUCCGUGCCAGCAGCCGCGGUAAUACGGAGGAUCCGAGCGUUAUCCGGAUUUAUUGGGUUUAAAGGGUGCGCAGGCGGCAUGUUAAGUCGGCGCUGAAAUUUUGCAGCUCAACUGUAAAAGAGCCUUCGAAACUGGCAAGCUUGAGUGUGGAUGAAGUAGGCGGAAUUUGUGGUGUAGCGGUGAAAUGCAUAGAUAUCACAAAGAACACCGAUUGCGCAGGCAGCUUACUAAACCAUAACUGACGCUCAUGCACGAAGGCGUGGGGAUCAAACAGGAUUAGAUACCCUGAUAGUCCACGCAGUAAACGAUGAUUACUGGCUGUUUGCGAUACAAUGUAAGCGGCUGGGCGAAAGCGUUAAGUAAUCCACCUGGGGAGUACGUUCGCAAGAAUGCAACUCAAUGAAUUGACGGAA
rnacentral:rRNA from 1 species